AUUGAACGCUGGCGGCAUGCCUUACACAUGCAAGUCGAACGGCAGCACGGACUUCGGUCUGGUGGCGAGUGGCGAACGGGUGAGUAAUGUAUCGGAACGUACCUUUCAGUGGGGGAUAACGUAGCGAAAGUUACGCUAAUACCGCAUAUUCUGUGAGCAGGAAAGCAGGGGAUCGAAAGACCUUGCGCUGAUUGAGCGGCCGAUAUCAGAUUAGCUAGUUGGUGGGGUAAAGGCCUACCAAGGCGACGAUCUGUAGCGGGUCUGAGAGGAUGAUCCGCCACACGGGAACUGAGCCACGGUCCAGACUCCUACGGGAGGCAGCAGUGGGGAAUUUUGGACAAUGGGGGCAACCCUGAUCCAGCCAUGCCGCGUGAGUGAAGAAGGCCUUCGGGUUGUAAAGCUCUUUCGGCCGGGAAGAAAUCGCAUAGGCUAAUACCCUGUGUGGAUGACGGUACCGGAAUAAGAAGCACCGGCUAACUACGUG
rnacentral:rRNA from 1 species